UACGUAGGGGGCAAGCGUUGUCCGGAAUCAUUGGGCGUAAAGAGCGUGUAGGCGGCCCGAUAAGUCCGCUGUGAAAGUCCAGGGCUCAACCCUGGGAUGCCGGUGGAUACUGUCGGGCUCGAGUCCGGAAGAGGAGUGUGGAAUUCCUGGUGUAGCGGUGAAAUGCGCAAAUAUCAGGAGGAACACCGGUGGCGAAGGCGGAUCUCUGGGCCUUACCUGACGCUCAGGCGCGAAAGCUAGGGGAGCGAACAGG
rnacentral:rRNA from 1 species